rnacentral:rRNA from 1 species
UGAAAGAAAAAAGUGGAAAAAGGGUUUCUUUGGGUGACCCAGGGGAGGGAUCAUUCCCGUGAAAUGCAGGCCCUUGGGAGGGCGGAUGCCUGCAAUGCCCGUGGAAACCAACCCCCUUUUUCUUGGGGGCGUUCGGGCCCCGCAGGCCCCCCCCCACUCAUUGCACAAGAUGUUCUGGACCCCCACCAAGCCAGCACAAUUCCGGGCAACGUAUCUUUUAGGUCCCGGCACCGAUGAAGGACGCAGCGAAAUGCGAUACGUAGUGCGAAUUGCAGAUCUCCGCGAGCCAUCGAACCUCUGAACGCACAUGGCGCCCGCCGGACCCCCCCGGCGGGCACGCCCGUCCGAGCGUCUGUUCCCUCGACCCCGGGCCCGGCCCGGUUGCUGGGGCCCCGCGGCUGCCGCGGGGCCUCGAAAUGCAGCGACGGCGGUCACGUGAGCCCCUGGCAGAGCCAAGCAGGACCCCUGCGCCUCGGGCCCGCGGUGGUGGCUGUUCCCCUCCUAAGACGACCUCGGAUCGGGCGGGAGACCCGCGAAGCUAG